CAUGUAUGUUCUUGUUUAAAUCAUACAUAAAUAUUACUUGGACAUCACAAGAUGUUUUUUUACAGGAAGCAUUUUUACCCUGAUGAUUGCAGAGCAGCUGUGUGUGCAAACCAAGACCAUUUGGUCGAUGCUUAUCUGCACACAGUUGCAGAGCCGGUCUGCUGACAUUGAAAAAAUGAUGAAACACAAGGUGGAUGAUCUUUCAGUAAGGAGGACAACAUCUCAGGAGACUGAAUGAAGUGCCAAGAAAGCAACCAGGAGACCACGGGACAGUCGAGGGUUUGGCAAGACAAACAAGCCUCCGCCUGAGCUGAGGCCUUUAUUACUUAUUG
ensembl:lncRNA